rnacentral:lncRNA from 1 species
GAGGAUAUUGCACUUUUUCAUAUUAUUAAUUAUAGUUUACUUUUUUAUUUUAUUUUAAAUGACAAUUCUCUUUUCUGGAGAAAGAUACAAACAAUUAUGACUUAGCAGUUAUUUUUUUAAAAAAUUUGAUAUUUUAUUUAAUAUACAAUACAAUUUAAUUAUUUUUUUAAAAAAGAGUAUAAUAUUUUUUCAUAAUAGUACAACGUUUACAGAAAUAAUAUAAAUAUUUAUACAAAUAGUGCAACAUAUGUAUUGUUUAUACACAUAUUGCAUAAUUUUUAUAAUAUAUUAUAUUAUUUACGCAUAAUAUAUUAUAUUAUUCGUAAUUUAGUAUAAAAAUUAUACAACAAUAUAUAAAAUUGCAAAUGUUGUACUAUUUGCACAAAUAUUACACUAUUUAGAAGAAAAUAUUACACUAUUUAAGAAGAUAUUGCACUAUUUAACCAGUAUUCCAUUCUUUCUUCUUGUUUUAUUAUUUGAACUUUUCAAUUUAUAUAUUAAAUGAGAAUUUUAUUUUUCAAGAGAAAGGUGGCUGUAAUAAUAAUUUGUCAAUUGUAUUUUUUAAGAUAUUUAAUGCAUAUACUUUUUAUGCAUUUUGAAAGAGAAGUAGUUUGAUCAUUUUUUAAAAAAAUCGGAUCGAAUCUGUAAAAUUAAAAAAAACGGUCUACUUU